GACGAACGCUGGCGGCGUGCUUAACACAUGCAAGUCGUACGGUAAGGCCCUUUCUGGGGUACACGAGUGGCGAACGGGUGAGUAACACGUGAGUAACCUGCCCACAACUUUGGGAUAACGCUCGGAAACUGGUGCUAAUACUUGCUAUGUGCUCCUGCUGCAUGGUGGGUGUUGGAAAGCUCCGGCGGUUGUGGAUGGUCUCGCGGGCUAUCAGCUUGUUUGUGGGGUAGUGGCCUACCAAGGCGGCGACGGGUAGCCGGCCUGAGAGGGUGACCGGCCACAUUGGGACUGAGAUACGGCCCAGACUCCUACGGGAGGCAGCAGUGGGGAAUAUUGCACAAUGGGCGCAAGCCUGAUGCAGCAACGCCGCGUGCGGGAUGACGGCCUUCGGGUUGUAAACCGCUUUCAGCAGGGACGAAGCUUUUUGUGACGGUACCUGCAGAAGAAGCACCGGCUAACUACGUG
rnacentral:rRNA from 1 species